ensembl:lncRNA
UUUGGCGGUUAAAUCAGUUCGGAUCCUCGAGGCUGCGGUCAUUCUUCGUUUUCAAGAUGAAUCAUUUUAGCUGAAGAAUAUAAACAGCUAUAAAGAGGGCAGGACCGGGUCAGACCUCCAGUCAGACGUGGAAGUGUCUGGGAAAAGACCACCAAGGAGGAGUGUCCGGACCCCCUGGAGAUAAGGAGCAUUGAUUGUUUGACUCAGAGGAUGUGUGACACACCACCCAAACACAUUCUUCCACCUGCCCCUACUGUUAACUUCCCCACAGUCACCCCAAACACCAUUUUCAUCCCUGUUCC